rnacentral:lncRNA from 1 species
UGGUCGUGAAAAAAAUAAGACAUUGUAUCUGUUGUGGCAAAGGCGAGGGGAGAGAAAGAAAGAAAGCUUUUUGUAGAAUAAAUUUGUUAGGAUAAAAUAAUUUUACUCACCCACUUUUAGAAAAUUGAUGGUGAAUCAAACGGCAGAGACAUAUAUGAACGAACCAGAAUUUUUGGCGAAAUAUAUUUGUAAAACAGAGAAUUUUGAAGGGAUAAAUCUGAUUAUUUAAAUUUUGUAAGGAUUUAUCUGUUAUUUAAUACUUUUACAGGAAUCGAUAUUAAAUUAACCUAAAGUUUUAAACUUAAAUAAAAAAAGUGAGUGUUAAAUAUUGUUGGAAAUAAUAGGCAGCGGAAACUUACAAACCGGAUAGCCAACGUAUCCGGAAGCCCGAAUCGGAUCGGAUUACUUGUUUUACAAGCCUUCUUGAAUCGUUCUUGUCUCGAAAAAUGGUUGUCUCACAGGUACGAGAUGAUCCGCCGCUCAGCCCACCUCCUCGCCUCCUCGCUCCUAUUUUCGAAUCCUCAUCCCUUCCGAUCUCCGCCGUCGUCAUCGACAUCGCGCUGGCCUCCGCCGUCCUCCCCGUCGUCACCGCCAACUUAGGCCUCAAGAGCUACAUUCUGUUCACCACAUCUGCCUCCAUGCUUGCGCUCUACACGUACUUUCCAACUUAUCUCGACGCCGCCGAACCCGGCUCGCCGAUCGGUGACAUUGAUAUUCCGGGGCUGUGGCGAGUACCGAGAGCGUCCGUCGUGCCGGCGCUCCACGACGCUGACAAUCUCUUCACAAUCCAGUUCGUCAGCAACGGCCGCGCGCUCCCGCAAGCGGACGGAAUUAUAGUGAAUACGUUCGAUGGCUUCGAGCUAGAGGCGCUCGCCGCGCUGAGAGCGGGAAAAGUCACUCCUUCGCUCCCUCCGGUGAUCGCAGUCGGUCCAUUGCACCCACUGGGAGGCUCAAAGUCGGCGACGCCAUUGCUGACGUAGUGGCUCAACGAGCAGCCCGCAGGGUCCGUAAUCUACGUGAGCUUCGGCAGCCGCACGGCAAUGUCGAAGGCACAAAUACAGCAACUACGGAGGGGCAUCGAAGUAAGUGGCGUGCGGUUCCUGUGGGUGGUGAAGGGCAAAGCCGUCGAUCGAGAGGAUGAUAGCGAAGUAGAGCAGUUGGUCGGCGGCGACGACGAGCAAUUCUUAUAGAGAGUGAAGGGGAGGGGAAUGGUAGUAAAAGGAUGGGUAGAGCAAGAGAGGGUGCUGGGCCAUGUAUCCGUCGGAGGGUUCUUGAGCCACUGCGGGUGGAAUUCGGUAGCGGAGGCGGCAGUAUUCGGGAAGCCGAUAUUGGCAUGGCCAAGAGCAGCGGACCAGCGCGUGAACGCAGCGGUUGCGGUGGCGUGUGGGCUCGGGAUGUGGGUGAGGGAGUGGAGUUGGGAGGCAGAGGAAGGGGUGGUGAGUGGGGAGGAGAUUGGAAAGUGCAUAAAAGAGCUGAUGGCGAAUGAGAAGCUAAAGGCAUCGGCGGUGAGAGUGAGGGGGGGAGGGGGGGAGGCCGGGGGGGGGGGGGGGAGGCCGGCAGAGCUAUACGUGCUAGAGGCAGCUCGCAUGAGGGGUUGCAGCUGCUGAUUAGCAGUCCGAACGUGUGAGAACAAGUUUUCUCUUAUUGUUUGUGUAUCGAAUGUGGCUUUUCUAUUUUGCUAAACAAAAGUUUUAUACAAAGUUAACGUAGAAAGAAAUAGCCGAUUAUUUAUAAUUUGAAAAAUGUUUUGGAUCCCUCGAUUUAAAGUAUCUCAAUAUCUAUACCUAUUUAUUAGUCUCGAAUAAAAGUUUCCACGUGGCUGUUUUUCCUUCACUUUUGGUUGCGGGCUUCACUUGCUAGUAAUUCCUGCCUUGAACUGAACCAUCUCAACUGGCCCAUCUCUUCCUCUUCUUUCUUCAAGACGAAUUGGGCUAAUUUGUAAUAUACUACAUGUUAAAUCAUAUUCUUCUUUUUGUAAAAUCGAUUUUUUUAUUACCUUUUUUUUUUUUUUCUGACUUUCACCUCUUUUAAACUAGCUUCUCUCCUCUUUUAAAUAAGUUUUUUUUUUUUUAAAUCGAACCAACUAUUCUCUUCCUUUAAACCACUUUCUCAUAUUUUCUUGAAUCGAACUGGCUCAUCUCAUCCUUUGAACCUUUCUUGCCUAUACCUUUCCCUUCCCCCCUUAGCAUUUAUUGUCAUUUAAUCUUUUUUUUUUCCCUCUUUAGCCUUUUCUUUUACCCCACAGUGGUUUUGGUGGCUCUUAGGUUUUCCUCUAUCUCUCUCUCUCUCUUUCAUGAGACCUUUCAUUUUCUCAUUUGAGUCAUCUCAUUAUUCUUCAUCAUUUAAUCUCUUUUUUCUUUUCUUUUUUUUCUCAAUUUGGCCUUUUUCUCUUACCUCUUCAGUAGUUUUGGUCCAUUUCUUAAAUUUUUCUUUGCUUCUCUUUUUUUUACUCUAUCUUCAUCACUCUCUAUUUAAAUCUAUUCAAAUCAUCUCUCUUCUGUUGAUGACAGUAGAAAGGGCGAUGGCAGUGCAACAAAUCCGCAACAAAUCCGCCGAACUGACAGAGCCUUUCCUAUCCGUCCAACACGUAGGAAAGUUUGUGCAUCAUUCCAAAUAAGGAGAUCAUUGCAGCACAUUUUGCACGAGGGCAAUCAAGAGAAUAAGAGAAUUUAACUAUCUAUUACGUUGUCCCAAACAUCCACAACUCGAAACUUUUUACACAACACAUUCAUUCUUUACAUAAUACAAUUCCAACUCAUCUCGACACUUUUAUAGAUGUGUAGACGAGUCACUGAAAUUGUAAUUGAUCCGAUAGUUAAUUUUUUCGGAACACUAAAUCCUUCCCCUCUAUAAAAAGUUGUUUUCGAAACUUUAUCUCAUACGUCAAGUAAAAUGCUCGAAAAGAGAAGGAUAAAUUUUGUUGCAUCACAGUCUCCGACCCCCAAGUAAAAGUAGGUUAUGCCCUAUAGGUGCAAGGUGUGAAACACUCGAGUAUCACGGUGUUGAGACUCAAGGGUGGGGCCUACAAUUUUUUGGAAGCUAUACUCUUUAGCAUGGUCCAUGGCAUAUAGAUCACGACCUAUGAUGGCCCAAUACAUAGAUCAUGGCCCAUGAUGGCCCAUUGGGAUGGUUGUAUUUGAGAGCAAAAGCACGUGCCAUGCAUGAUACGCUCCCUAAGCCAUCAAUCUCCAUGUACAAAAGCUAUUCACCUUCUACAUUUCCUAACAUUUCAAAAUUACUCUCUUCACCUUCGCAUUUUCCUCUCAUCACCUCCCACUAUAACAUGUAGUCACGAAACACCCUAGCUUAUCAAUUAUACACUUCUUAGGCUCAAGAGACUAUACAUUUCAUGUCACUUUGUGAUUGUUGUCUGUAUUGUCUUUGAUCUUUACUGUUUUUUCUUUCUAUAUUGUUUUUCUAUAUUUUUUCUUUUUUUUUACGUUUUGUUCCUCUUUAAGAUUUAGACUUUAGUUUUUGGUUCUCCUUGCAGUAACUUUCAUCGUAAAAUACAUAUAGUUAGUUUAAGUUUAGCACAUUCAUAUUGUUGUAUUUUGUUUGGAUUUUUUUCCUGUCUAUUUGAUUAUCUUAAUAUACUUUUACUUCUCUACUAAUUUGAGUUCUAAUAUUUCUGUUUUGAUAAUAGAAAAUUAAAAAAGAGUUCUACUUAAUUUUCUAAAUGCUUUUACGUAAUGUUGGAUUUCAAAAUUAUAUAUAUGAUUCUAAAAAAUGAUUGGCUUUUAGUUUCUCUUUUAUUAAUUUUUAGUCUAUAUAUUAGUUAGUUGGUUGUCAUUCAUGGUAUGCAACUACUGCUAUAGGUUUUAGUUUGUGCAUAGAGAUUAUAGAAUAUAUAUCUCUUGACAUUUCUUCAGUCUAUAUCAUGUAUAUUAUUAUGAUUCAUAUAUUUCAAAAUUCAAAAUUUUCGAUCUUUAUAUUAUCUUAUUUCUUAGUCAGUAGUAUAAUGAUUAUCUUUAUUCACAGAUGGAGUCUAACUCCCCCACUUUUGGCAGGGCAGAGAUGAAAUCUAUGGAGACGCUCUCCCACGGACGACUAGGGAACCGCUGAUGCUCUAUGUUGUCUUGCUGGCACACAAGACAAAUCUACAAGUUAAAACAUCACUGUUGGCAAUCACUUUGUUUUUUAUUUGUAAAUCAUAAAUAUAUAAAUGGAGGAAGAAUGUAUCACCAUUUUCUGAAAUAGUAAAAUUUGAUAAAAAUAAUCAUAAAUAUUUAUUUUUAAUUCUAUAGGUACUUAAUUAUCUAUAAAUUUUUGCUUGAACAAUAUCAAUUCGCUGCAUCGAGCAGGCCUACACUAGUAUUGUUUAUAUUUUGACAUACACAUAUAAAAGUUAGAAUUUAGAACCUAAAGUAUAAUAAUGAUGCUUAGGGUUUAAUAAUGAUAUUUGAAAUUUUAGUAAUUAACGUUUAGAAAUAAUAAUGAAAUUGUCAUGUCAUCAGCAACAUUAUAGGAUACCUUUAUAACUCUCUAAUAAAAAAGAUAAAAGUUUUAAAAGUAGUUUUUCUUUCUACUUUCAAAAUUUUUUUAGACAAAUUCUUAUUCAUUUAUUACAAGAUAACUAAUCAUGACAAAAAGAAAAAGAGCCUUUUAAUUGGUAUAUCAUAUUAUAUAGAAUAUGUUCUAAAAAAAAAUAGAAAAAUGAUCACUAUGUCGGGCCUAAUCACUUCUCUACUUUGUAGUUCAAAAAUUAUAUUUAACUAUUUUAGGGACCCAUAUUUUGCAGCGGGUAGAAACUAUAAAAAUUAUUAAAUAAUAAAAAAAUAUCAAGCAUACACCAAUAAAAAGAACACACAAAACUCUAUAUUCAAACAUAAAUAUUAGUAAUAAUCUCUUAUAAGCAAUCAGUCUUAUUAAUUUAUACAAAAAGUUGUAAUUAUCUCUAUUGAAGAAAAUAAUCUCUAUUAGUUUUUGAGAAAAAAAAUUGUUAGUCUCUAUACUAAACAGUUAGUUAACACAAAGUAUAAUUUACUAAUUAAGAUAUGAGAUCGGAAAUGUCUAAUGAAACUGAGAGGGAACACAACAAAAUUUAUAAAAAAAAAAAAACUAUGUAAAAAAAAAAUAAAAGAAAAAAAUAAGAGAGAAGAGGUUAAGGGAUUUUACUAUGGUGCUAUUGUCAUAUAUCACAACUUCUCUAUUAUCCAUUUCUAUCUUGCUCACUACAACAAAAACGGUCUAUAGUGACACUUUUAAAUGUAGGUACAUGUCAAAAGUGCUGCUAGCUAAAAUUACCGACACUUUUAAAAAGUGUUGCUAUAUGUGGGGUCGCUAGGUAUAUAGUGACAGUUAUAGAGUGUCGCUAUAACAUAAAAGAGUGCUGCUAAUUUACCAACAACUUAUUUAAGUAUUUAGCAACCGCCGAAACUCUAUCCCGUUGGCUGCGGUGGCGGAGGAGGACGAUAGGAAUGACUCUUCGCCUAGAAUUUCAGUAGAUUGAGUGAAGAGAGAAAAAAAAAUAGUAAUUGAUUUUUCUCUUUUUUUUUUCUUUUCUGUUUGUAAUCAGGCCAAAUGGGCUGGGUGUGAUGGGUUGAGUAGAGUAAUCUUUUAUUUUUGGUUGGAUUGAGCUUUAUAUUUAGGCAUUAGUAGAUGUUUUUUUAAGUUUUAGUAUAAAUAGGACACUUACUCAAAAGUGUCCCAAACAUGUGUCCCUAUAACCUAAUUCUGUUGUAGCGCUCUCUCUCUCCUCUCCUCUCUACUUUUCAUUCUUUCUUUGAAGUUAUGGAGGAGGACAAAGAGAAAGACGAGUUUGAAUGCAGAUGAAUCUUGAAUGUGCGAGAGGAGAUCGCUUACACGUGGGAAGCUCGAUCUCAUUAUCCCCAUCGUCUCCCUCAAGAAUGCCAUUCUCAUUUGCUGCGAUCACUCCGGGCUCCCCCGUCUUAACCUGCUCUUCACUAAAAACGCGCACGCCAUCGUCCGCCACCUCACCUUUAUAGCAUCGAAUUGAUUUUAGGGGAGAGUAGAAAAGGAUGGAUAAUAAUUAGUUUUUGAAUAUAAUUUUUCAAAGAGAUAAUAUACAGAGAAAAAAAGAUAGGAUAAAAAAAAAAAAAGUCCCUAUAAAUCUUGAUAGGAUAUGAGCCAAAGUAAGAAGAGAGGGAGAAGAUGGAAAAAAGAUUAAAAGCACCACGUGUUCCUUUAAAAGUGUCAAUUAGGGCAUGCUUGGUUCACCUAUUUUAGAUUAUGGAAUCGGAAUGGAAUUCAUUGAUUCCGAUAGUUGCCAUUUGUUUUAUAGGAAUCGGAUUCCGAUUCUUAUUCCACUCCGGAAUGGGAGUGUCCAAAUUCAUUUAUGAUCCAAUCCGGCUUUGAAUCCCGGAUUGACUAAUUUCAAAGUAAAUUAUUCAAAAUCUUCUUUUAUCAACACCUAUUUCCCCUCCCUUCAUCACUUUUCUCUCUCUUAAUCAAAAUCCUCUCUCAAAAAUUUUAAAUUUUCAUUCCGAUUUCCAUUCCAAUAAUGAACCAAACAUUUUUGAAUGAUUCGUCAUUCCAUUUUUCAUUCUAAAGCAAUCCAAUUCCAUUUCCCAUUUCUAUUCUAAUCAUGAACCAAACAUGCCCUUAAUGUAUUUUUAUAGGAGAUUAUCAUUUGAUUUUAUUUUAGUAUCAUCAAAUAGCAAAAUAAUACUUUUAUAUCAUUUGAUUUUGAAAAAUAACAUGUUACUUUAUUUAAGGAUAAAUUUUUACCAUAAAAUAAAAAUAAAUUUAUAUGAUAAUUUUUUAAAUCAUAGAGUGAGGAUUGAAAAUAUGAUAAAGUAUAUGGUGCAAAUUGAAUCUUACCUUAGGGCUUGUUUGGUUCAAGGGUGGAAUUGAAAUGGAUAAUGAAAUGGGAAUGAAUUGGAAUGGUAAUUGGAAUGACCCACUCUCCCAAGACGUUUGGUUUAUUUGUGGAUUGGGAAUUGGAAUGAGUUAUUCACAUUUCAUUGUUUGGUUCGUAUAAAUUAAAAAAAUUAUAGGAUACUAUAAUACUAAUUUUACUCUCAAAUAUAAAUUUAUAUUAUUUAAAAUUUAUGAAAAAUAUAAUACUAUUCUCUAAUAAGUUUUUCAAAAAAAAAUAUCAAAUUUAUUUUUAAAAACUUUUAUUGAUGUGGGUUAGGGAUAGGGUUUUGAGAGAGGAUAGGUUACUUUUUUUUUUUUGAUGAGAAAGGAGUGGAGAGAGAGAAGGAGGGUGAGAUGGUCACAUGGGGUUUGAGAACUUAGUGGGCUUCCGGAAUGAAAUCUCGAUCCGGGCUAGAAGACUGGAAUCAAGUUGAAGGCUAAUGGGUCAUUCCCAUUCCAGUCCGAAAUAGAAAUCCCAAACCGAUUCAUGUGAACCAAACAAAAUUAACCGGAUUUGAUCAAACCGAUUACCAUUCCAUACCCAAAAUGGAUGAACCAAAUAAGCCCCUAAUUUCUUCAUUGGCACCUCCGAAACUUCUAUUUUUUAUUUAAAUUUUUUAAUAAAUUAAAUUAAAAAAUUUAUUAAAGUUUAUGGUUUCAAAAAGUGUAACUUACUUUCAAAUAGUUGUACAUGAUAUAAUUUUGUUUCAAAGGAUGCAACUUAAUUUCAAACUUCGUUAUAGGAAAGAACUGCUUAUUUCAAAGAUAGAUACAAAUUCAGGUAUAAGUAAGAACUAAACUAAUUUUGCAUUUGGAUAAAAAUUGAGUUGUUUUUAGGAAUACAAAAAAUAACAUUUGGAUAGAAAAAAUUAAACAAGAAGAAUAGUUGGUAGUUAUAAAUAAAAAAUAUUGAUAUUACCCCUCUCACUAUAUUUGAAUUUAAAUUUUUUAAUUUUAAAUUUAAAUUUUUAAAUUUUAAAUUUUAAAUUUUAAAUUUUAAAUUUAAAUUCUAAAAUUAAAAUUUAAACAAAAUUUAAAUUUAAGAUCAAAUUUAAAUAUGAAAAAUAUAAAAUACCAAAAUUUAAUUUGGAAAAAUUAAAAAUAUUAACUUUAAAAUUUAAAAUUAUAAACUUUAAUUUUGAAAUUACAAAUUAUAAAUUUUAAAACUUUAAAAUUUUAAUUUUAAUUUUUUAAAUUUUAAAUUUUAAAAAUAAAAAUAAGGAUGGUAACCGUUAUUCCCACCCUAUCUAAUAAUCUAAGCGUGGGAAUUAGCAUUUUGUGUUUGGGAAACAAAAAGGCCUCUUAACCCUAUCCGUGUUACUCAACCAAACCGGGUGAAAGAGUAUAAAUAUGUCUUAAAGAGCAAAAUUUUCGAACCAAACGAUACCUAAAUGGAUAAAAAAAGGGUAAGAAGAAGGAAGAAGAUCUGAAAUUAAAAAAAUGUUAUAUUUUUGCAAAAAAAAAAAAAAAAAAGAGCAAAAUCCGUGGAAUUUUUUAUUCAAAUAGGCCCUAAGAUUAAAUUCCUUCCGUUCGAACGUCCGCAUACUCCUUCCUCUCUCUCUCUCUCUCUCUCUCUCUCUCUCUCUCUCACAGAGAGUAGCAAAAGGUUGCACGAAGCUCCAUUCCCGUGCCGCAAUGUCUCCUCCUCCUCUCUCCCUCCUCUCUCCAUCGAUCGCGUCUCCUUGAGGAGGAGGAGCAGGAGGAGCACAGCAUCCAUGGCGAGAUCGGGGGCGAAGCCGAUCGCGAAGAGGUACGUGCUCGUCCUCUCCGGCCUCGCCCUCCUCGGCGUCGCCCUCGUCGCCGAUUUCCUCUGGGCCUCCUCCUCCUCCUCCUCCUCGUCGUCGUCCUCGCCUCUUUGGUCCACGACGCUGGAUUUGUCUCUCUACGACGCCCCCAAACCCCCCGUGGCCAAGCAGGUGAGCCCGAUCUGAUUUGCUUCUUCCGGAAGCAACUUCUUCGGAAAGCGACUUGGCCACUUCCCUUUUGAUGUUCUUGCGUUGAUACUAAUCAAGUUAAUUUCUUUGGAUAAUAUGGUAUCGGUCCUCAGUCUCCUAGUUCAACCAGGUUCUGGGUUCAAUUCCCAAAAAAUUCGCCAUUGGAUGAUGUAAAUUGUUCUUUGUUGUCUAUUUGAUUACUUUUGAUUGCCUUUUCAGUCGGUGCAUGUAGUAUGAUUCAACUCAUCUUCACAUGCAUGUUGGGUAACUACGUAUUAGAGCCGAGUGAUUCUAGGGUUUUAAUUUCCACAUCCGCCAUUUAUGGCAUAAAAUUUUGUUAGUCGGCUUUUUGGUACCUCUAUCGAUCUAAAUUUCCAUCAUGCACACGAUCGGGAAUGUUAAGACUAUUCCUGAGCUGUUUUCAAUUAGCUCAAUCUUUCGGAAACAAAAUGAAAAUUUUGGUACUUACCUAUCUUUCUUUUUUUGUUUUUUGUUUUUUAUGUGAGCCAGACAGUGAGAAAUCAGAUGCUUCUGGUUGUCGUAAGUGUUGAUUGUGAAGUGUAAUGAUGUUGCAUAUUUCAUUAAUUCUCAAAAAGAUUAAAAAAAAUUGCUCUGCCGCUGAAUCGUUUCCUCAUUUCCUGAUGAAUAUGGUGAAUUUCCAUUUGUGCUUGGUUAUACUCAUAUGGAUCUAAUGCUAGUAAGAUGCAUAGAGUUGUAACUUAACAGGUGGUUGAAGUGUGUCUCAGUAAUUAAUGUCCUUUGUAGAUAUGGAAAUGGGUACAGAUUGUUGUAGAACGAUUUCAAUAAAGUGGGGAGAGAAUGAAAAGGUAGAUUAUGUAGGAGGCAUAAAAAUAGCCUAGAAAAUAGAGAUGCAGAAGAAUGCCCGUUAUCAAAUAUACGAAAUUUUCAUUUGUUUUCGAAAAUGCAUGAAUUUUUCUCUUAGACCUUAGAUAUUUAAAAGGGGUUUUUGGGCGACUAGGGUUAUAGAAUUUUUUUUAAUUCUAAGAAAAGACAUUUGAUAUUUUUAUUUGUAAAACUAGGUCUAAGCGGUGAAUGAUUUACCACAUUUAGAAAUUGGUUAAUGAUUUAGCACAUUUAGAAAGCGGUGGUUCAUUCACUGCAUAAGCCUAAUUUUAAAAUAAUUAUUUUUGAAAGACUACUUUUAUAAUUAUACUAUUUUUUAAGUCUAUUAAUGGAGAAAAUUCUAUUUAAAACAAGGCACAUUACCUGCAUGAUGCAUACAAAGGGAUUGAUUACAUCUGUUUGUUUGAAUACAAAUUUACUUAUCUUGAUAUUUCCAUAUGUGGUGCUAGCAAUGUUGCGCUACAUCUUUCAAUUAGCAGAUGAUGAAGCUUUGACUCUUACGUAAAUCUUUUCCUUGGUGAAUAAUCUUUUAGUUGGAUUAGUGGAUCCUUAACUCUCCCUUGAUAUGAAUUCCAUUGAUGAGAUAUUUACUCAGUGGCCAUUCUGAUAUACAAAACCUGGUACACAUAGGAUGCAUUGAGAUUGUAAGCACACAUGAGCAGACGUAGAUCUCAUUGAUCACUGACCAUUGUUAAUGUGGAAAUGGGUAGAGAUUGCUUUGCAAAGUAUUCCACUUGAGUAAGAAGAGUAUGGAAAGAGAUAGAUUGUGAAAGAGACAGAGAAGAUAGAAAAAAAGAUGUGGAUGACAAUGCAACAGCUGAAAGAACACAAUUGGAAAUACAUGAGGAUGAGGUUUUGCUUACUGCCUCCUUUUUAUAAUAUAAUUACAAUGGGGUGUUCUAUAGUUAGUAAAACUCUUCCAAAUUAUAUUAAGUUUUAGCUUAAUCUAUUUUUUUCAAGGUUUACAGAGUAAAUGAUCAAUCAGAAAAUGUACCAGAGCCCUUGACAUAGAUAGACUAGACACGGUAAACUUGAAUUGUAAAGGUAUAAGUUACUACACAGCUAUGCUAUAUUUUGAGUUUUAUUUUUGUUAUAUUUUUCUUGUAGUGCUGUUCUGUGCAAUUAUAUCUGCACCACUGUGCAUGAACUUCGAGCUUCUAGCUUAAAUCUUGACGGAAGUCUUCUCAUUCCUUCAUUUAUACUGGAAACUAGCACAAGUUAAAUUGCCAAAUCUUUAUGAUUUAAGAAGAAUUGCUUUAGUUGCACUAUCAAAUGGUCCAAUGAAAUGCAACUUUAUUAACAAGGCCUUUCCUCUUGUGUUUGGUGAUUAUAUUGAUGGCUCUAGAUUCCAAGAAAUUCUACGUAGAAAUACACAUGAGACUAUAAUACACAUGAGACUAUUGCUUUGAUAUGUAUUGUUCGACUGUAUACGAGGAACUCUCAAACAUAAAUGAGUUUGCCAUUUAGAUCAUCUGAAAGGAAUCAUUUCUAUAUGUUCUAUUUCCUGCAUUAGCAUAUUCUCAAUUUGUUGUUGGACUUGUCGUGGUUGUCCCCAGUUAUUUCUCUAUCUUCAGGGUUGGAAUAAAAAUUCCACAACAAUCAACUGAUAUGACUUCCUUAAUAUGCGUCUUCCAUACUUUGUAUCUGGAGUACUUUCAAUUAAUUUCCUCUGCAAUCUUAGGCUUUGGCGGUGUUUAUCAUAUGCUUCUCAAACCUGAGACUCUUGAGGAAUCUUUCCCAUUCUUCUGUAAUGUAUAAAUAGAAAGAAAUAAAUGACUACAAUUUUGGGUACACACUUAAUUUUGUCAGGUAUAGGUGCUUUUCUUCUGUGUUUAUGGGGUCCAUAUUAUUUACAGGGGUUUUAUUUCUCGGAAUUANNNNNNGGGGUGGGAUGUAAGGAAAUUACCAACUUGAUCCUUAGCAUUGGUGUUAUAUUUGGUCUCCUUUAGGAGGAGAAGGGUGGAUUAUUAGUGUGGAAAUUUUAGAAGAUUAGUUUGUUCUUUUCAGUUCCUAUUUCCAAGUACUAAAUAGUAAUUCGAAUUUUUGUCUUUUUCAUCUUGCAGGUUAAGAAGGAUAAUAAAAUGUUACAGACAAAAGACAUUAAUGCAACUUUUGCGGAUUUACCGGCACCUCAGUUAGAAUGGGAAGAGAUGGCAGAAGCUCCUGUGCCUCGUCUAGAUGGAGCUGCUAUACAGAUUAAGAAUCUGCUGUAUGUUUUUGCUGGAUAUGGUACCAUUGACCAUGUAAGAAUAAUAGUAAUAUAUUGAUAUAUAACAUAUUUUUUUAUGUUGGGACUAAAGAGUAUUUUCUUCGGUCCUUCCAUAUCUCUUUGCUUACUCCGUAACCUUGUAGAGCCCAUUUACUUUAAAGAUUUAAUUCUUCAAAUAUUGAUUGUUUGUUGCAAAAUUGCAGUAUAGUACCUUAUGAGUUUAUACCGAGAAUAUGACAGUAUAUUUGUGGUUUAACUUGAAAUUAUGUGUUUGGAAGUGUAACAUGCUAAGUAAAGCUAUCUAGUUGACUUGCAAAUUAAUCAUAAAUAAUGCAAGUGAUAUUUGCAUCAUUUGAUUAUCUGCUGAUGAUUUUCCAACUACAUUGCAUCUUAAGCCCCUUAAAACGAACAAGUAUUUGAGAGUAGAGUUAUAUGCAUGCUUUAUUAUGGCUUGCAGUUGCAUCCCAUGAAAACAUUUUGUGAUUCAGAUAGGACUAAAUUAUAUCAAGAUCUUCUUUGAAAUAAUACAGCCUGAUCAAAAUACAUCUUGAAUGGCUACCUCACUUUUGACUCUGGCUUUAUCUUGUGUAAAAAAUCGGAAAAUCCACUGAUUUGGUUCUUUUACUUGCUAAUCUUACUGAAUCUUCUCCUAAGGCCACUGCAUCCUCACUUGAAAUCUUUCAACUAAACCAAGUUACUUUUUCUUAGGCCUAGGAUGCCUGAGUCCUCUUUAUCUGUAAAUAUUCUUGUUUCUUUCUGUGAAAAUAUGUGAUUAAUGUUCCUCUUAAUACAUGUUUUUCUCUAGACAUCCUUAUGUCACUGUAUGUCUACAUUUUGCGACUUGUUCACACAACCAUCUUUACAUCCUUUCCUUACAUGUUCAUUGCAUUGCACCUAUAUUUAGAUCUCUAACAAGUGAUUUGCUUGUCACCCACUACUAAACCCCAUCGUUUUCUUUUGACUACUCGCUUGGAAAAUUUUUGAGCUGUUUUUAGUUCUCAUUUUGUUAAUUUAGCUGAAUAUUUGGUAAAUAGCAUGUAUGUACUCAUCUUGUAGCAUAGUGAUAAGGAGAAUCUCCUCCUUGUAAGGGCCAAUGGGUCGAGUUUUUCCAUUCCCAACUAAUGGUGCUGCACCAUUUGUGACCUUUGUCACCUAGCAUCAAAGAAAAAAGGACUAUCUUAAUGGUGCCAUAUUGCGCUAUCAUUUGCGAAAAGUUGAAAAUGAUACAAGCAGAUAAGAACUAAACUAAUGUUUCUUAUGGUCCUUGUCUUCUUGAUUCUUGAAAUUAUAUUAUAACGAAUAUUAUUUUCUGUUUAGUGGAUGAUUAAUUGGAUUUCUGUGCUAAAUCAUUUUAUGAACGAAUUUGUUUUCUUUCUGUUUUAGGUGCAUUCCCAUGUGGAUAUCUAUAACUUUACAGAUAAUACAUGGGGAGGAAGAUUUGAUAUGCCAAAAGAAAUGGCACAUUCACAUCUAGGAAUGGUGACAGAUGGCAGAUAUAUUUAUGUAGUCACUGGACAGUAUGGGCCCCAAUGUAGAGGUCCUACAGCUCGCAAUUUUGUACUGGACACAGAGACGAAAGAAUGGCAUGAUUUGCCUCCAUUGCCAGUGCCUAGGUGUGUAAUAUUGGCUUGAAUAGUCAAAUUAAUUUUAUGGAUGUUUUGAGUCUGUCUUACUUCAGUCACAACUAUGAGGUGUAUUAAGGGUGGAGUUAGGAUAAGACUGUUCCUAACGGACCUAAACUGGUUUUAAGAUUUAUCCUUAGUUCUUUUGAGGGUUUGUUCGAUUUUCCACUCUUUUCGUUUUAUUCCUCGUAUAUAUCAUUUUGCUAUUAUCCAAGAAACUUUUUAGUGUUGCAAAGUUCUUUUCUCCCCUUGGUGUGUGAAUCUAUUGUUGUGUCGCCAUUUCUACAUCAAUUUAGUUUUAAGUACUUGGUGAUAUUCAACCUAGACUGGCUGAGCUCAUUUGGUCUAUUAUUUCAUGCUCACAGAAUUUAUGGAAAUUUUGAUCGAAGUCUUAAGAAAUACUGAUGGAUGUCUUCCUAGGUACGCACCAGCUACACAACUUUGGAGAGGCAGACUCCAUGUAAUGGGUGGCAGCAAGGAGGAUCGCCAUGAACCUGCAUUGGAUCAUUGGAGCCUCGCUGUAAAAGAUGGGAAAGCUUUGGACAAUGAAUGGAGAAAUGAGAUACCCAUACCACGUGGUGGUCCUCACAGGUUUGUGUGCAGUUGCCUCGUAGAAUUUAUUUGUUAGGUUCAUGUUUUAUCUGUGAAAUUAUUUAAUCUGAAACCUACAGCAAUCACCAUGCUAAUUAGAGGUAAAAUUUAGAAUUAGGGAAUUUUAUUUAUUUAUUUAUUUAUUUAUUUUGUUUUUCUGGUGAUUUGUGCGGCAAGUUAGAGCUACUUAUGAACAUGGAGUAGUUGCCAUAUCAUUGUAAUAAAGGAUUCCAAUCUGACACCCAAUUAGUCCCACAGCACAAUCCAAUGUGGGACUAAUUGAGGUGUCACUGUAAUGAUGUAAGAAAGGUAUUUUGUCCCGAGCUUUGGCUAGAGCUUUGCUGUAGAUGCAAAAGAAACAGGAAGGUUGAGCAAAAUAAGGUAGCUUGUUGCAAAUGAGAAAAUAUUUAUUUAAAGCUUCCGGUUUUGAUGAUUUUUAUAGAGUAUGUUAAGUUUGUCGGCUCGUAGGACGAGAUCUAUAGUGUGAUCUGAUAUUGCAAUAACUUUAAAGCCUGAUCUAAAUCAACGCUUUAUCACGAACUUAAUUUCGAAAUAUUGUGAAACUUGGAUCAAAUAUUGGCUGUUGAAUUCUCAUCACGCUGAAUCAGUAUCUCAAUACUUCAAUAUUUGAUGAAAUUAUAGUCACACUUACAUGUGUUGACAUGCUUCUAUAUAUUCAGGUGAGCUAUAGAUAUAUGUACUCCUAUGCAAACCUGCAUAUUGUUCUAUUGCUAUCUGAAUACUUUAACACUUUGGCUUUUAAAGAUCUUGUUUUAACCUUUAUUACCGAUUGUUCCUGCUGCUUAAUAAGGUACUGCAAUUAAGCCUUGUACAUUUGCCUAUUUUGCUUGAUGAAAUAGCUCACUUCGUGAUAUCUUCUAAAGGCUGCAUAUGCCUUGUUUUGCCCAGUGCGGUUUUUGAAACUGAUUCUCUACUCAACACAAAGCUAUAUGAAAAUUUUUCAUCAAUUUCCAUCAUGUUAUUACUUUAAAAAUAAUAUUCAGAACUGAAAUGACAAAUUAAUUCUUAGCCAAAUAUGUCUUUUGUCACCAGGGCUUGUGUGGUUGCUAAUGAUCGGCUUCUUGCUAUUGGCGGUCAAGAGGGUGAUUUUAUGGCAAAACCUGGAUCACCGAUUUUCAAAUGUGUUCGCAGAAGUGAGGUUUGUAGCUGGAAAUCUAAAUAGAAUUUUAAAGAAGAAUUUACAAAAUGUGUAAUCUAGAUGAUAUAACUGGGGAAUGAUGCCUUUGUUAAAGUGGAAUGAAGUUCUACUCAUUUACAUUAAAAUGAGAUAUUAGUGUUUAAUUUGGACCUCCUCCUUGAUGGAAAAGAAAGGGAACAUCCAGCUGAGCUACAAAUCUUCAUUAAUUAAUACUUCUGGUGCUUUUCCUCAUGGACAUUUUUGGAACCUACCUCACAUGCGCUAGACCAACUUGGCUUUAUACCAAGGAAUUUCUUUAGAUAUAAAGAAUAUGAUAUUAAUUUUGAUUAUAAAAAACUAUACCUUUUGUCUCUUUUAUUAUCUUGCAUUGUAUCAUGAUUGGCCUACUUGCUUCUUUCUUUAUUAUGUUUUUGCCACCUACUUAUGCUGGCAAAUUUUGUUCUUAUUCAGGUGGUGUAUAGCAAUGUUUACAUGCUUGAUGAUGGUUUAAAGUGGAAGGAACUGCCACCCAUGCCUAAACCAGAUUCACACAUAGAAUUUGCAUGGGUAAAUGUAAACAAUUCCCUUAUUAUCGCUGGAGGAACUACGGAGAAACAUCCUGUGACUAAAAAGAUGGUCUUGGUUGGUGAAAUAUUUCGGUUCAACUUGGAUACACUGGUAUUAAAAACUCCUCAAUCCUUUUACUGUACAAAAAGAGAAGUAACGUUUUCUUAUUUGUUCAUAUUUCUACUAUCUGCUGUCGAUUUCAUCGAGACUCAUAAUCUCCAUUUCUUUUAGAAUUCUGUUGAUUUGUGAACAAUUGUUAGGCUCUAUAAAGAGCACCAAUUACCAAUUGAAUGAAAUUUCAAAUUUUCAUGUCUAUAAAAUUAAAGAAAAGAAAAUAUAAAGCGCUAAUAUUAGAGAUUGGUGAUUUCUUUAGUCAUCAUAAAGUUUUUUCUUGUUAUUAAUUAUAUACUUUCCAGAUGAUCCAAUACUGUAAAAAAAACUGAACUCUGCAAAUGAACAAAUAAUAUGAUUUUACAAAAUUGUCGUGAUUGGUUCUACUUUUGUCUCUUAUAUAAUGUUUAUUCAAAUAAUGUAAUUUUCACAGGAAUGGUCGGUUAUUGGGAAGUUACCUUUCCGCAUCAAGACCACCUUGGUAGGUUUCUGGAAUGGCUGGUUGUAUUUCACAUCUGGCCAGCGAGACAAGGGACCAAACGAUCCCUCUCCUAAAAAGGUUGUCGGGUGCAUGUGGAGAACUAAGCUACGGUUAUAGCUCUUACAUUUUAUCUGGAACUAUGUCAGUUUAUAUCUUCGCUAUUUCCGUCUAGAAUGUCUCACAUAUUGUUUCAUUUUUUUUUCAGUUCAAUUCCUCAUUCAAAUUUACAAACUAAUCCAGUGAUUUAUCCUGUACAAUUUAGUGGGCACUUCAUUUUUUUUUUCAGUCCUAUUUGUAGCAAGUCAAACAACACCCUUGGAGGUCUCCCAGUUUAUUAGACAAUUCAUGUCAAUUUUAUCUUAUAGUUUAUGUUGGUCUUCAGAAAUGUAUCAUUCAUGCAUUAUUUCCUUUUACAUGGCAGUUGCAGUGUGGGAUUUGUUGCAUCAAACUUAAAGUGGAAAACCUUCAUUUCCAUGUAGUAAUACUUUGCUUAGGUUUACAGGAAAAGGUAAUGCUUUGUAUUAGUCAUAUGUGCCUUAUUUUUCGGAACACCUCGACAUUUCUUGGAUCCCGUGCUGAUUUGUAGAAGCGUCGUCGAUGAUGGUCGGCAUUAAGGAUGAUUCUACUAGCUCGAACUAGAGCUAGCGGUUGUUAGAGAUUUGGUGCUUGAUGUGAGGAUCGUAAGACUUUUCGUUUUCAUCUCUUUUCUUUAUUUGGAUUUCAGGGCUUGAUUUUUUUACUUUUACGUUGUAGGUUGGGAACUGUUAUCGACAUGUUUUUCAUCUCUUUUCUUGUUCUGAGUCGGGGGACCGACAAUAACGAAUUUCCCCAUUGUUUUAUUUUGAUUCGAUCGGGAACCGUUGUCGAUUUCUUCAUUUUAGUUUGUGCAGAGUGGUCUUCAUUUCUAUGUUGUGGAGUAUAUUUUUCAAAUUUUUUUUCCCAAACUUGUAUUUAAGCUUUUUAUUAAUGGAUAUUAUCUAUGGGUUUCCUUGUUAAGGAAAAGAAAAAAAGGGAAACAAAGAGAGGGAGUUUGAGAACUGAAAAAAAAGGUGAGUACAGAGUUUCCAACAUUUUAACUUUUUAGCUUUUAUUUAAGAGUAAUGUUAAUGACAGAGCUAUUUUUGUUAUUGUCAGGAAAGAUACAAAGCAUGUAACUUCGACUCGCUCAAAACAAGCCCUAGCUGGCAAUUUAAUCUCUCGCACUGCAGCCGUCUGCCCCAUGAACCAGUGGGAUCUCCUCAAACUGCUCCAAGAAGCCGUAACCGUCGCCAACGUUCCUCAGCGACCGGUACGCUCCAUACAUUGAGAACCUCUCCUGCGGACUAUUUACAACACAUCCCAUGGCUAUUUUCAAGGACUCCACAAUUUCGACGUCAUGGCCCUUCCCGCGCAGCGACUCAUCAACAGCAUCUCUGAUCCUACCUUCGCCCGCAAGCUUGCGAACCCAAUCCACCAAAUUUCCUGCAAAACGUAUCCCCACCGCAUCCGUGCCGAUCUCACCGGGCUUCCUCCCUGUGGCUAGCUCCAGUAGCACCACUCCUAAUGCAUAAACAUCGCCCUUUGUGGUCGGGACCGGAUUCGCAGCAUACUCCGGAGCCGCGUAGCCCAAUUCCCCGACGUUCGAUUCGAGGAGCCCCGAGAGGCCGAAAUCGGUGAUCUUGGCCUCAUAGUCUUCGUCGAGGAGGAUCGUGCUCGAGCUCAUGUAAUGGUGGAGGAGGGGAGCGUGGAACCAAUGGUGGAGCCACGUGAGACCGCGGGCGGCACCGAUUGCUAUCUUGAGCCUAGCAGGCCAAUCCAGAGAGCGAGAGGAAGAGUGUAGUCGGGAGGAGAGGGCGCCGUUCGGCAUGUACUUGUAGACGAGGAGGCGCUCGUCGUUGAUUGUGUAGAAGUCCAAGAGCGGUGCAAGGUUGGGGUGGCGGAGUCGACCAAUGCGACUGAUCGUCGCGGAGUAGAGGGCCUCGCCGAAGAGCCUGCACGACCGCAGCCGCUUGACGGUGAGCGCAGUUCCGUCGCUGAGGAAGGCCUUGUAUGACGUCCCCAGCUGCGCACUCCCAACCGCGAUAAUACGAUCGGGGUGGAAAUCUGCAGUUGCAUGUAGUAGAUCGGAGGGAGUUAGCUGCACGGUCAGCCUCCGGGAGAUCGUCAUGGGUGAGAUCUGGCCCAGAGACACCUGCAGCGACUCUGUCCGGCCCAACAAGUUUCUGCGCUCCCCGGUGGUGGCGAUAGGACUAUGAGUUACUUUCGAGGGACGGGAAAUGCACCGGUUCCAGAUUGUGAGCGAAAAGAGCAAAGAAGUUGCAAAACCAAAGACGCCGGCCAAGAUGUUCACAAGGAUAGCUUCGCCUUCCGUAGCAUGGCCGUGGCGGUGAGAGGAGACGUCGUAGCCGCGGCGUCGGUUGGGAUUCCCCGCAAACGAGUUGAACGAAUUGCCCGGCGGUGCGUGGAUUGGGCCACGAAGCAUGUCGUAGUCGUCCUUCGCUGCGCUUCCGUCGACACCGGUGUAGAUCGAAGCCGUCGAAACUGCGAGGAGAAUGAGAAGAUGGAGGGCUCCCAUGAUCUGUCUGCAGCUCUGAUCUUCAAAUUAAUGAUCUCAAAAAAUGGCAUGAGAUUACAAAUACACAAAAGUGCAGGGAGGAUAGGGGAGACUUGGUUGACAGUGAUAAAGACAAAUGUGGAAAUAUAUGAGGUAAAAAGACUAGGAUCUCAAACUGACAGCGUUAGACUUGGACUCAGCGGUCAAGCAUUUAAGCUGAUAGAGAAAGAGGAAAAUUUGCAAAUAGCUUGAUGUCGACUGGCGCGGCAGUGCCAGAACAACAUUCAGAAAGAAAGAUAUGACUCAAAAACGAAUAGAGUUGGUGCCAAAAUAGUUCAUGCUAUACCAACUAUGUGACACAUUUAGAAUUUAAAAUAGUUUUAUAUAUAAUAAAUAAUAAAAAUAUUUGUUUAAUCCGAUUAUAGUAUUUUAGGCUAUUGUUAGACUGAAGAGAUUAAGGGCGUGUUUGGUUCACUUCUUUUUCGCCCUAGAAUUGAAUCGGAAUGGGUGUAUUUGUUUGUGGGUGUUUGGUACACGGGAGUCUCAUUCUGAUUCCGAUUCCGAUUUUCGAGUGGAAUGAGAAUUUUUCAAUCAUCUCUGUUUUCAAUCCGGCCUAGGAGGCCGGAUUGGAAGUUGAAUCUGGACGAAAUGGAUAUCUAUUCGGAUUAAAUUUAUUUUUUCAACUUUUUUAAUUAAAAUAUGAGUUAAAAUUUAAAAAUUAAAUAUAUAAUUUUAAAUUUUAAUUUGAACUUAAAUUAAAUUUUAAAAUUUAAUCAAAUAUUUCGAAUCUAACUUAAUUUUAAGUUUGAAUUUGAAUAAAUCAUAAUUUAGUUUCAUAUUUUAAAUUAUCCACUCAACUUUAAAGUUUAAUUUUUUAAAAAAAUUAGAUUUAAAAUUUUGACAUUAUUUCAAAAUUUUGAUGUAAAUUUUAAAUAUUUAAUUUUUAAUUUGAAUUUAAAUUAAUAUAUUAUAAAGAUGAUGUUAGUGUAUUAAUUUGAUUAUAUUUUUUAUAUCCAUCUGAACCAAACACCGACAAUAGGAAUGAUUUAUUCCGAUUUCGAUUCAGGUGAUGAACCAAACAGAAUUAGGUAAUGAGUUAUUCCGAUUCCAAUUCCAGCUUAUUUUGAUUCCGAUUCCGAUUUCGACUCCGACUUCGAACCAAACACGCCCUAAGAGAGUUAAGCGUAUUAGAGAUAGAAUAGUUCUAGAAUGGAUGACUUAUUUGGGAAGCGAGGCGUCGCAAUUAAUAGCAGAGCCAAUCACUAGUUGGAAAUGUGAGAUGAGUCUUAACUGAGAUAUAGUUAUUCAGUGCAUAGAACAUGAUUCUCUAGCUGAUGAUUGUUGUGGGUGGAGGCGUGGAGCGCAACUCCUCACAAGACCAGCUAAAACUAGCGAGACAAAUUUCAUAUCACUUGAUGUUUGUAAGUGUGCCGACGAAAACUUCAAGACUUAAAGGGAGGUAAAGUAAUGUAACAAUCCAGUGAUUUGAAAUAUUCUAUACAUGAGAUAUAAUUGGGCUAAACCUUUUAACACGACUAUAAUAUUUUGGGCGGUGACUAGGCGUAAAAAGUCUAUGGAAAGUUCAAGAUAUGAAGGCCUUAUUUGGACAUUCAACUAAAGUUAUUCAGUGAUAUCCUAUGUGGCAUGAAAAUUUUCAGUAAUAUUCUAUUAAGUAUAAAAAUUUUCUAUAAUGAGUGGACGUUACGAGUGUGGUCAAAUGUCUAGAAUGGAACAGCAUACCUUCAAUUCAUUUUUAUUGUGAACAAAAUAAAUCACAUUAUUUGUAAAGUAUAUUAUCCUGUUAAAUCAUAUAUGCCAACAUCUUUUAAGAAGCUAAAAUCAAACUCCUUGCUUUUCAUUCACACACCAAAAAAAAAAAAAAAAAUUUAUGCUGAACUGCAUCUAAAUUAACAAAGUUUUCCGAAGAUUUCACAAAUAAAUGUUCUCUACUCACUAGGCAAGUACCAGUAAUCCAAAUGAAAAAAUACACCAAAGUAAAUUAUACAGCAUUUACCAGAAGAAGUAAAGAACGAGUUUCCGUUGCCGAAGAAAUGAAAAAUAAGUAAA